UCCCUCCUGCCUCCCAAGUAGCUGGGACCACAGGCACCUGCCAACAUGCACACGUGUCACCAUGCCCAGCUAAUUUUAAAAAAUUUUUUUGGAGAGACAAGGUCUCCCUCUGUUGCUCAGGCCAGUCUUGAAGUCCUGGGCUCAUGCAAUCCUCUCGCCUUGGCCUCCCAAAAUGCUGGGAUUACAGGUAUAAGCCACUGUGCCUGGCCUCACAAACUUCAUAAUAGACAUUCUAGAAAAUGACAUGAGAUUUGGCAUCAUGGACUAGGUAACUUCUGUCCCAUAAUAUUGGCCAAGCUACUGUGGUGAGUGGGGAGAAAUGUGGAAUAAAGAGGCUAAGCCUGACAGGUCCCCUUGGGUGAGUACUUCUGCUCUGGAACAAGAGCAUCAAGGAAACUCAUAUUAAUUAAGUUUUCACCACCUGCCAGGCACUUUCACAUAGGCUCGCUCAUUCAAUCCUCUAGGUGACCCUUAAGAGAGGUAACACACUCUGUAUUCUUUAGAAAGAUUGAACAACCUUAGAGAAGGUAAUGAACUUGUCUAAGUUGGGGAAGCCAGUGAAGGGCAAAGCCAGGGUCAGACCCCAGAACUGUGUGGCUCCUUUCUGUUCUCCAGUGCUGCAGGUAGUGUGGUUUUAAGACAAAACAGAGUGAAGGGGACUUUCACAGAAAAGACAAGUUCAUGGGUGAAUUCCAUGUGUGUGUAUUGGGCACUGUAGAUUCUCACUUUCAGGGUGGCCUUCCAAUUGGUGUGAUAAUGAGAUACCCUAGAGAAACCUUCAUCUUUCCUUCCUCCUCAAAGUGCUGCCCACUCCCAGAUGAAGGGACCAGCAUUUGGCCAACAGUAAGGGCUUUUAUGAUCUCUGGCUGUGAAAGGUUAUGGCAGUGGGAUGGACAAUGCCUCUAUUCUCUCUCAAUUUUCUUUCUUGUGGAAAAGGCAUCUGCACAUGUGGCUUCUUUGAAUUGAAGAUGUGUGUUAAAGCAUUAGGAAGAAAUCAGCCCAAAUGCUAAUACUCCAUCUGAUGAUGCAGACUCAUUUACUAUAUGUGCUUCUCUCCAUUAAAAGUCAGAAGAGAAAGGUAACAAUGAGAGACAUGUUUACAAGGCCUUAUCGAAUAAGGAUCCUAGACUUCCUCCUCUUCUUAUUAUUCACAACUGUAUUCAGUACAGUUGCAAAGCUGGCAAAAAAACUAGCUUCUUCCAUUUUUUUUCUGUGCUUUUGAUUCAUGUUUUGGUUUCGGUUUCUUUUCUCUUACCACUUUUAAGGGGAUUUUCUUUGUCAGGCCCUGGUUCUCUGGCACAGACUCCUGGAAUCCACAUAUCCUUGGCUUCACAAAAAACCUACUCCCACUUCUCAAGGCCUGACAGUUUUCAGAUCCCUCUGAAUCUUCCAAGAGAGCAAAGGCAUUAUUCCUCCACGUCUGCUGGAGGGCAGGCUGUCUCUGUAGCAGGGGAUGGGGGAUUUCUUCUAUUGUAAUCAGCAGUCAUUAGUUUUGGGAGUCAUAGUUGGCCUAUCUUUAUUUCAGACUUUAUCCAUCAGUUUUCAAAUAGGAAGACAGUGUUUACUAAUGAACUUUAUCUUUCCUGGGGUCAGCAGCCCAAUAAAGCAAUUGUUUGGAUUUGGGAAUGUAAGGACCAUCUCCUCCAAGCUAAACUCUGAAGUAUAAGAUGUUGCCUCCUGCUGUGCAGUCUUCACAUCCAAAGAGGCACUAAGAAGCAAAACAUCUGGGAUGCUCCAUUAUAGAAGUUUCCUGGGAAUUGGAUGCUGAGAUGAAAAGCAUAUGAGUAGCUUUCUUCCAACAUUCUUCUUGGUGAUUAACCGACUAUCCAAGUACAAAGUUGCUCCUAAUUAACCCUGAGGACCCCAAUAUAAAGUUGCAAGUGAAAGAAGUCCUGCUACUCUAAAGAAUAACUAAACCAGACUGGAGUCACUGAAGCUGAUGGAAGAACACCUCAGGCAUGAGUGCCAUGGUGACGUCAUCAGCUCCGUUCACAACCACUCACCAUGAGGCCAUUGCUCCUGUGGAGGACACUGGCUUAGGACUCAUGAAGUAGUACCUCAGGAAGGUGGCUCUGUAAGUGUUCCUUCCACCAGCUCCAAGACACAAUGAGAUGGAGAGAAUUGGAACAAUUCCCUAUGAUUGCAGCUGGAUAUUUUCACAUGAACUAUCUAGUAAUGAAGGCAAUGGCAUGUGGUGUGGCAAAGACUGGCCCCAGAUUACAUUUCCAGUCCUUUUGUAUUGAGGAGGGGCUUUGGGACCAAGACAGUAGGAGUGAGGGUACAGGUUCCACAUUCUAUUUCUCUCUUAGUUUUCUGUGGUUAUCUUGGUGACUGCAUGGUAAAGAUGGAGGUGACAAAAGAUGGAAGGAGCCUGGAUCCCUGAAUGACUUCAUGGUGCAGAGCCUUACACUACCCCCAACUCAUACUAAAACAGCGGUGGGAGGAACAAUAGACCAUUAUUCUGUUAAGGUGCUGAAAUUGUAGAGCUGUUAAUUUGAACAGUUAGAGUUUCUUAUACUGAUACAGUAUCCUUACCCUGGAUUGUUGAAAUAAUUAGUCCAAAUAGUUUCUUUGCCUAAAACUGUGGACAGAGCCUAAGCAAUACUGAAUCCAAGACAAGGUAUAUUUAUCAAAUGCUACUCACUAUACAAUACAGAUGAAUGUGGCACUUA